UACCAGUGCAUUAAAAUACUGUUUUGUGGGC
rnacentral:piRNA from 1 species